CAGUGAGCUCCAGAAGUCCCAGGUUCGAUCCCACCCAGCGCCGACUGGGGUCUGUCGGUGUUACACUGGCACUUCCACGUCCUCCAGGCAAGGUGGGCCUGCUUUGGGAUGACAUGACGGGCUUCAGCCUCCCAGGGCACUGUGCUCUUGGUCCUAUGUGAACCCAGCAGGGUUGGGAGAGCAGGGCACACGAGAGCAUCUACAAUCUGCAUGCCUGGUUUAAACACACCUCGGCAAUGUGCUGCUUUCCUGAAAGGGCAGCACCAGCCGGGUUAGACGGCACAGAUGUCAGGAGCCAGUGCCAGCAGCCGUCUCGAGGGAGCAGCCGGGAAUGGGGAGCCUUGGGCUGGGCCAGCACCAGGGAAUCUCAUGUACCCUGCCCCUCCUCAGACUAUGGCAGCCUGUUUUCUGAGGGGAGGAGGGCAGUGCCUCCCUUCCUGCACCCCACCACUGAGGGGUUGCUUGCUGGCGGAGCGAGCCGUGGGUCCACAGAGGCAGACGUCCGGUCUGACAGAACUUCCAUCAGAGAUCGAGCCCGUCCCCAGGGCCCUGCAGGCAGCACCGCGAAAGCACUGGUGCACAGCCAGGGGGGAAAGAGCAGGGAACAAAAGAGAAAACGCUGCCUGUCUGGGAACCUGCCCAGAGAGAGAGAGCGAUAGAGACACGCCAGAGCUAAAGCCCAAGCAGAGAAAAAAAAAAGAAAGAAAGGGGGCCCUAGCAACCAGCAUGUCCCGCACCUCUUCCCACCUUGAAAUCCAUCUCUUCUCCUCCUCCUGGCUCCUGCUUCCCCUGCCAGCACCGGGGAGGAGAGCCGGCAGUGCCAACCAAACCCACACACAUCCGGCAAGCCCUACUGCAUGAAUUUGGGGCUGGUGUGGCAACACCCUGGGAACCUGCUGGUGAAGUUUGCGCGCACACACACACACACACACACACAGCCCUUUGUGAAGAAUACCCCUGCCUUGGCACCACACCAACUCGCACACAACCCAAUACCGGGAACAAUGUGCCUUUUCCUAUUCUGCACACGCGCCAGGAGCAAAGCGACCGCAAGUCACGGCGGCGAAGGGGGCGAGUGGUUUGAGUUAUUUUAAGUUUCCCUCCUCCCCCCCAAAGCCUGUGAUGUGCCAAAUUUUUCCACCUCCUUUAAGGACACUUAAAAUAACUCACCCGGGCGACCUGCAGCCGGAUUGCCUGCUCCGCACACUGCCUUUGAUCACCACCACCCCCUUGGAAAAAGCCAAAAACCAGGCAUUAACCAGCCAACCAGCCCCCACCCUCCCGCACCCCAUCUGUCUCGGUUAUUUAAUGAAGCAGACGGCAUCACCACCAGCCCAGGGAAAGAAAGGGAAAUUCAGAACCCAGCUCAACCAGCAAACAGCGCAGCACUUAAGCCACGUUGCUGUAAGGCAAGAGAGAAAAGCACACCCCUUAGUCGAUCUUCCUCCCCCCCCACCAAAAAAAAUACAACUCGUUCUGGCAACGUUUCUAGGACAGCAGGCUCUAUAGAUACUUUAUCCCCUUGGAGCCAGGCAGCCCUGACAACAGCACAACACUGAAAACCAGCGGUGGCCACGAGCACCAGAUUAGCACCCCCUGCUGCCUUCAUCUGACAGCCAGCAUCCCCUGGUAGCCCAGUCCCCCCCACAUCUGCAGCCAUUCCCCCCAGGUGAGGGGGUAGCCGGAGAGUUCUGUCUUGUCACUGCAUGGAGGGGGCUUAAUCCCCCCCCCCCUUUUAAAAGCAAGAUUCCCCCAGCUGAUCUUCCUCUGUUCAGCUUCAAAGCAAACCACUCUGGCAUCAGCAGCACCAAUUCCCCACAGCAUCACCACACCGUACGGGCAGUUGGAGCGGGGGGGGGGAGAAAA